AUACGUAGGGUGCAAGCGUUAAUCGGAAUUACUGGGCGUAAAGCGUGCGCAGGCGGUUUUGUAAGACAGAGGUGAAAUCCCCGGGCUCAACCUGGGACCUGCAUUUGUGACUGCAAGGCUAGAGUACCGCAGAGGGGGAUGGAAUUCCCGGUGUAGCAAGGAAAUGCGUAGAUAUGCGGAGGAACACCGAUGGCGAAGGCAAUCCCCUGGGCCUGUACUGACGCUCAUGCACGAAAGCGUGGGGAGCAAACAGGAUUAGAUACCCUGGUAGUCCACGCCCUAAACGAUGUCAACUGGUUGUUGGGUCUUCAUUGACUCAGUAACGAAGCUAACGCGUGAAGUUGACCGCCUGGGGAGUACGGCCGCAAGGUUGAAACUCAAAUGAAUUGACGGGG
rnacentral:rRNA from 1 species